CUACGGGUUGCAGCAGUGGGGAAUAUUGCACAAUGGAGGAAACUCUGAUGCAGCAACGCCGCGUGGAGGAUGACACUUUUGGGAGCGGAAAAGGAAGUUAUAUAGGAAGAAGAUGACGGUACUAUAUGAAUAAGCGCCGGCUAACGCCGUGCCAGCAGCCGCGGUAAUACGGAGGGCGCAAGCGUUACUCGGAAUCACUGGGCGUAAAGAGCGUGUAGGCGGAUUAAAAAGUCAGAAGUGAAAUCCUAUAGCUUAACUAUAGAACUGCUUCUGAAACUCUUAAUCUAGAAUAUGGGAGAGGUAGAUGGAAUUUCUGGUGUAGGGGUAAAAUCCGUAGAGAUCAGAAGGAAUACCGAUUGCGAAGGCGAUCUACUAGAACAUUAUUGACGCUGAGAAGCGAAAGCGUGGGGAGCAAACAGGAUUAGAUACCCGAGUAGUC
rnacentral:rRNA from 1 species